rnacentral:rRNA from 1 species
CAGCCGCCGCGGGAAUACGUAGGUGGCAAGCGUUAUCCGGAAUUAUUGGGCGUAAAGCGCGCGUAGGCGGUUUUUUAAGUCUGAUGUGAAAGCCCACGGCUCAACCGUGGAGGGUCAUUGGAAACUGGAAAACUUGAGUGCAGAAGAGGAAAGUGGAAUUCCAUGUGUAGCGGUGAAAUGCGCAGAGAUAUGGAGGAACACCAGUGGCGAAGGCGACUUUCUGGUCUGUAACUGACGCUGAUGUGCAAAAGCGUGGGGAUCAAACAGGAUUAGAUACCCCAGUAGUCCCUGUCUCUUAUAC